rnacentral:rRNA from 1 species
GACGAGCGCUGGCGGCGUGCUUAACACAUGCAAGUCGAACGGUGAAGCGCCUUCCUUUUUGGUGGGUGUGGAUGAGUGGCGAACGGGUGAGUAACACGUGAGUAACCUGCCCCCUUCUUCUGGAUAACCGCAUGAAAGUGUGGCUAAUACGGGAUAUUCUGGGUCUGUCGCAUGAUGGGUCUGGGAAAGAUAUUGUUUCGGUGGGGGAUGGGCUCGCGGCCUAUCAGCUUGUUGGUGGGGUGAUGGCCUACCAAGGCGGUGACGGGUAGCCGGCCUGAGAGGGUGGACGGUCACACUGGGACUGAGACACGGCCCAGACUUCUACGGGAGGCAGCAGUGGGGAAUAUUGCACAAUGGGCGCAAGCCUGAUGCAGCGACGCCGCGUGAGGGAUGGAGGCCUGCGGGUUGUGAACCUCUUUCGCCAGUGAAGCAGGCCUGCCUCGUUUGUGGGUGGGUUGACGGUAGCUGGAGAAGAAGCGCCGGCUAACUACGUG